GGCAUUGGUAGCUCAGUGGUUAAGACGUUGGUCUACUGAUCGGAAGGUCCUAAUUUCAAAUCCCAGCACUGCCA